rnacentral:rRNA from 1 species
GAUGAACGCUAGCGGCAGGCCUAAUACAUGCAAGUCGAACGGGAUCAGGGAGCUUGUUCCCUGUGAGAGUGGCGCACGGGUGCGUAACACGUAUGCAACCUACCUUCAACUGGGGGAUAGCCUUCCGAAAGGAAGAUUAAUACCGCAUAACAUAAUUGAAUGGCAUCAUUUGAUUAUCAAACGUCAGGGUUGAAGAUGGGCAUGCGUCCGAUUAGCUAGUUGGUGUGGUAACGGCACACCAAGGCGACGAUCGGUAGGGGAUCUGAGAGGAUGACCCCCCACACUGGUACUGAGACACGGACCAGACUCCUACGGGAGGCAGCAGUAAGGAAUAUUGGUCAAUGGCGAAAGCCUGAUCCAGCAAUGCCGCGUGCAGGAUGAAGGCCUUCGGGUUGUAAACUGCUUUUGUACGGAACGGAAAGCUUCGGGUUAAUACCCUGGAGUCAUGACGGUACCGUAAGAAUAAGCACCGGCUAACUACGUGCCAGCAGCCGCCGUAAUAC